GGAGAGUUGGCAGAGCGGUUGAUUGCAGCAGUCUUGAAAACUGUAGGUCAUUAAUAGUGAUCCGAGAGUUCGAACCUCUCACUCUCCUCCA
rnacentral:tRNA from 1 species